CAUCCACUUGCAGAGCCACAGCACCAUACGUCACCGCAGUUUCAGACACGCAGUUUUAGACCCGGAAGUGACGUUACCAUUUCUAGGCAAGCCGAAAACAACACCUCCAUUUAUCGAACACAAGUCUUGGUUUUUAGCACGAGCGCAGCAUUUUCGAGCACAAACAAAAUAUGACAGAAAACAGCACGUAACAAGACAAAACGAAUAUCUUCAGGCACAUGGAUACUAAUUAAAAACAAGUGUGAUUUACCCUUGAUCAGGAGGUGCUGGUGCUUUAUUCUAUUGGAAAAUUUUGCUGUUGGAAGUUAUCUCUUUCUCUGUGGCUAAUGUGUGAAUAUUUCGUACAGG